CGCCGCUACCUCGCUUUCACUUGGUACCGAUUUCCCAUAAUCCAUGUGAUGUGACGUAGUGGUACC
rnacentral:pre_miRNA from 1 species